GGCGGAUCGUGGUGGCUGCGCUUGCGAGGACCCUGAGGUAGAUUGGGUGGUUUCAACAGGAACGCAUCCACUGUCUGAGAGUUUAAACUUGAUUUUGUGAGGGGACGAACAGCGUGACAAUUAAAAGAAGAUCUGGGAAUCAUCCAAUGUGAUAAUUUAUGUGAAAUCUUUCUGCAAACUAUACAGUAUGAUAAAAAUAUAAGGUAGUUUCACUGGAAACAACAGAAGACUAGAAGCUGAUGUGACGUGGCAAUAUCAACCAGGAUCAGUUAAUCAUCACAUCUUCAGUAGUCUGGAAAUGUCAGCAUGCCAUGAAAGUAGGUGUUCAAGAACAUGACUGGAAAAAUACUUCAAUCCUCAGCCCACUUGGAUGAAGCCAAAGAAUCCACUGUCUAUCUUUUCUAUUCCAGCUGUACCUGUCAAAGAAUACCCAUCUCGAGUUCUGGAUAUGUGCUCUGAGAAGGUGCCCAUGUCACCGACCACACUGGAGGCCAAUGCAGAUACUGGGGGAAGGUUCCAUGGUAGCUAAGUGUGGACAAGCUAAUCACUGAAGUUCCCUGAUGCAGAGUUGAUAAUCUCUCUAGAGUUGGAUGAAAGACUGUGCUGCCUUGAAGCUCUGAGAGAUGCCAUGCCAAUUCAAGGCAGGGUCUUUAUUGUUGAAACUCUUGCGUAAUGACAUCUUUAUUCAGGUGAAAAUACAGGAUGAAUUUCAACUAUAUGAUAUUGUUUAUGUUCCUCAGACAUGUUAUUUGUCUUUACAAAGAUUGGUUUCAAUAAACUGUGUGACUGAUAUUAAAUAAACAUGGAAUUUUACACAUUCAUAA
rnacentral:lncRNA from 1 species